GAACUCCUUCCACACAUGGUGCUCCGAAGCAAGACGAUACAAUGACGCAUUCACACACGAAACAACACCAAGCUCCUUCGGUUCUAAGCAAUUAAGUAUUUCUGAGAUCAAAGCCGGAGGGAGGUCAGUAAUAGACCGACUAUCAGGCAAAACCUCAUUAACAGCGAGCAACUCCUCGCAUUUCAAACUCAAACUACCACCUUUCCCAUCCAAUCUCCACAAUGAUUUUUGCUUCUCUGAGUCAAAUAUGGAACUCUUUGGGUUCUUUGAAGGUUCAAAAAAACUAGUAUCAACUUUUUCUCUGCAGGGGUAGUCUACACAAUCUAUAGAACAAUCUUUCAAACCAAUCUUAGUACCUCUUUGGCAUUCAAAUUCCAUAAAAUUGGUUCCCCUAACCCUAAAUAUUCAACAGCAGAGCCCUAUAAUAAAGAGGAAGAAGAACAAUGGCUUCCGAAUUUGCUUUGAAAUUUUUAGGGAUUCGAAUUUUGGGGAAAAAUAAAUUUUGGUGAAUUUGA
rnacentral:misc_RNA from 1 species